AGAGUUUGAUCCUGGCUCAGGAUCAACGCUGGCGGCGUGCCUAAUGCAUGCAAGUCGCACGGGCACUCUUCGGGGUGUCAGUGGCGAACGGCUGAGGAACACGUGCGUAUCUGCCGGUUCGUGGGGAAUAACGCGGAGAAAUCCGCGCUAAUACCGCGUACGCUUGCUUUUGAGCAAGGAAAGCCUUCGGGCGCGGGCGGUGGGGCGUGCGGCCCAUCAGGUGGUUGGCGGGGUAAUGGCCCACCAAGCCGGUGACGGGUCGCUGGUCUGUGAGGACGAUCAGCCAGACUGGGACUGAGACACGGCCCAGACACCUACGGGUGGCAGCAGCAAGGAAUCUUCGGCACUGGGCGCAAGCCUGACCGAGCAACGCCGCGUGGAGGACGACGGCCUUCGGGUUGUAAACUCCUUUCGGGGGGGACGAAACGGACGGUACCCUCAGAAGCAGCCCCGGCUAACUCUGUGCCAGCAGCCGCGGUAAUACAGAGGGGGCAAGCGUUGUCCGGAUUUACUGGGCGUACAGCGCGCGCAGGCGGUCGUCGACGUGCCGUGUGACAUUCCACUGCUUAACAGUGGCGGGCCACGGUAGACGCGGGGACUGGAGGCAGGGAGAGGGAUGUGGAAUACCCGGUGGAGCGGUGAAAUGCGUAGAGAUCGGGUGGAACACCAGCGGCGAAGGCGGCAUCCUGGUCCUGUUCUGACGCUGAGGCGCGAGAGCGUGGGGAGCGAACCGGAUUAGAUACCCUUGUAGUCC
rnacentral:rRNA from 1 species